CUGAGAACAUCCAUAGAUAACAGAGAGAAGACUGAGGGAGAGGCACAAGCGUCUCCAUACAAAACCAAGUCUAAUGUUGUUUUGAAAUCAUUAAAAGUGACAGACAAGAGUUUUGUCAGUCAGAGUCCAGACAGGUCACAGCUGAGGAGUCUUGGUAGUACUGGGGAUGUCCAGUCAACAUGUCACCAAUCCCAAGUCAAGGCUAAUACAGAGCAUCAAGAAAGACCCCUCAGUGCUAGUAAAUCCCAAACUCCAAGAUCAAAAGACCAGGAUGACGAAGUCAGGAGGAGUCCAUUAAAGACCUUCCAUCCAAGGGUCCUACCUAGAGAAUCAUCCAGUCCUAAGAGAUCCAAGCAGGAAAGCUCUCCCUUGAAAACCUUUUCAAUAGACAUCAACCCCCAAACUAAGGUGGUUGAAGAACAAGAAGUGAAGCCGACACCAGUACCAAGACAGAAGAAGAGUCCCUCACACGAAACUAUGCAGACAGACACUAACCCUAGCACAGACAUCACCUCUCGUCCUCUCCCUUUACUUUCAGAGGACAGAGCGGCUUAUUUUGGCAAUGAGAAUACACAACAAAGUAGUUCAAGCUCCUUUACUUCAACACAAUCCCAAAAAGCUUCAGAAGAGAAGUUGGGGACCUUUACAAGCCUUGCCAGAUCUCUCAUCCCUCAGGAUUAUCAGCACUACCUUGGGCCACAGGAGAAGGCCCAUGUCCCUCCUUUUCACCAAGACAGAGCUGUUGCGGCAGAAACGGAAGUGGAACACACACCACAAAAUGCCCUCAGAGACUUUGUGGGAAACCAGAGAGACAGUUCCACUGUGGGGAAUCCUCCCGGAGUCACUUCUUCGAUUGUGCAAAAUAAAGACGGCUACUCCAGCCAAAACACAACAACCAGGGCCUGGUCUCUGUCUCGGGCAAGUUCAGGCAGUCAUGAUGACAGUUCUACGCCCAUCAUUCCAGCCCUUGAACGAUUAUCUUCAAGGAACAUGUCCUCAUCCAAAAGUCUGGAAAACCUCACCUCACAAACAAUUUCUUUGCUUCCACCAUCAGCCUCAACUCUCCCCAACUCACAGCAGAUGAAAAGCAGUGUGUCAGUGACUGUUCUUAAGCAGGACGAGACAGACAGUGACGGCACUUUUGAGACCAUCUUGGGCUGGAGAAGAAACACGGGCAGCUCCUCAUCUAACUUAAGUCUCUCCUCAGGAAUGGCCUCCAUGUCGUCUGUAUGUCGACAUGCAGCUCACUAGAUUAUAUAUGUUUCUGAUAAAAAUACAAUGUGCAUAUAGCUUGUU
rnacentral:lncRNA from 1 species